CCGGUUCCGGUUCACCCUCGGUGCCGCGCUCGUCGAGCCGCACCAGGGACCCGGCGACC
rnacentral:ncRNA from 1 species